rnacentral:lncRNA from 1 species
GUGAAGGUUAGCCAACAUAUCAAAACAAUAUCAGUAGGACGAUGAAACUUAAGAGUAAAAGUUAGUCAACAUAUAAAAACAUAAGGGCAACAAAAGGAAGGCUGAGGAACAUUAGACUCCUAUUUACGAGACUCCAAGCAUCGCGAUGAUCCUAAUUGUUGUUGGCCUAACAUCUUAGGCCAAUAACGAGUUCCAAAGUAGAAACUCCAACUCUCCGGUUGUACAUGAAAAAUAUAAGAAGAGGAAACCA